AGCGAACGCUGGCGGCAGGCCUAACACAUGCAAGUCGAGCGCCCGUAGCAAUACGGGAGCGGCCGACGGGUGAGUAACACGUGGGAACGUACCCUUCGGUUCGGAAUAACACCGGGAAACUUGGAUUAAUACCGGAUACGUCCGUAAGGAGAAAGAUUUAUCGCUGAAGGAUCGGCCCGCGUCUGAUUGGCUAGUUGGUGGGGUAACGGCCCACCAAGGCGAUGAUCAGUAGCUGGUCUGAGAGGACGGUCAGCCUCACUGGGACUGAGACACGGCCCAGACUCCUACGGGAGGCAGCAGUGGGGAAUAUUGGACAAUGGGCGCAAGCCUGAUCCAGCCAUGCCGCGUGGGUGAUGAAGGCCCUAGGGUUGUAAAGCCCUUUCGGCGGGGAAGAUAAUGACGGUACCCGCAGAAGAAGCCCCGGCUAACUUCGUGCCAGCCGCCGCAGUAAAAC
rnacentral:rRNA from 1 species